CCCUUAGAUGUCAUGGGCCGCACGCGCGCUACACUGAGUGUCUGAGAUACGAGUCUGCCUGGUCCGGCAAGGUCUAGGUAAUCGCUAAAAGACACAUCAUGCUUGGGAUAGAUUAUUGCAAAUAUUAAUCUUGAACGAGGAAUUCCUAGUAAGCGCAAGUCAACAGCUUGCGUUGAUUACGUCCCUGCCCUUUGUACACACCGCCCGUCGCUACUACUGAUUGGAUGUUUAAGCGAGGUUCUCGAACUGCUAGCGACUUAGCUUCGGUGAGGUCGCAGUGUGGGAAGUGAACCUAGCUUUGGUGUCUAGAGGAAGUAAAAGUCGUAACA
rnacentral:rRNA from 1 species